rnacentral:rRNA from 1 species
UACAGAGGGGGCAAGCGUUGUUCGGAAUUACUGGGCGUAAAGGGCGCGUAGGCGGCCUUCUAAGUCGAACGUGAAAUCCCCGGGCUCAACCCGGGAACUGCGUCCGAUACUGGAAGGCUUGAAUCCGGGAGAGGGAUGCGGAAUUCCAGGUGUAGCGGUGAAAUGCGUAGAUAUCUGGAGGAACACCGGUGGCGAAGGCGGCAUCCUGGACCGGCAUUGACGCUGAGGCACGAAAGCGUGGGGAGCAAACAGG